AAAGUACUCCCUCCGCCCCAAAAUUCUUGUCCGAGAUUUGUCUAGAUACGGAUGUAUCAAGUCACAUUUUAGUAUUAGAUACAUCCGUAUCUAGACAAAUCUAAGACAAGAAAUUUGGGACAGAGGGAGUAGUCG
rnacentral:pre_miRNA from 1 species